rnacentral:rRNA from 1 species
UUAAGCGACUAAGCGUACACGGUGGAUGCCCUGGCAGUCAGAGGCGAUGAAGGACGUGCUAAUCUGCGAUAAGCGCCGGUAAGGUGAUAUGAACCGUUAUAACCGGCGAUUUCCGAAUGGGGAAACCCAGUGUGACUCGUCACACUAUCAUUAACUGAAUCCAUAGGUUAAUGAGGCGAACCGGGGGAACUGAAACAUCUAAGUACCCCGAGGAAAAGAAAUCAACCGAGAUUCCCCCAGUAGCGGCGAGCGAACGGGGAGGAGCCCAGAGCCUGAAUCAGCAUGUGUGUUAGUGGAAGCGUCUGGAAAGGCGCGCGAUACAGGGUGACAGCCCCGUACACAAAAGCGCAUGUGCUGUGAGCUCGAUGAGUAGGGCGGGACACGUGGUAUCCUGUCUGAAUAUGGGGGGACCAUCCUCCAAGGCUAAAUACUCCUGACUGACCGAUAGUGAACCAGUACCGUGAGGGAAAGGCGAAAAGAACCCCGGCGAGGGGAGUGAAAAAGAACCUGAAACCGUGUACGUACAAGCAGUGGGAGCCCCACCACCAAAGCAUUCUCUGGUGUUGAAGGCCCUGCAAAGCAGCAUCGCGGUGGCGGAGCGUCGUUUGCGACGCCCAACACACAAAACAAGCGGUGAGUGCUUUGGGGUGGGGUGACUGCGUACCUUUUGUAUAAUGGGUCAGCGACUUAUAUUCUGUAGCAAGGUUAACCGUAUAGGGGAGCCGUAGGGAAACCGAGUCUUAACCGGGCGUUAAGUUGCAGGGUAUAGACCCGAAACCCGGUGAUCUAGCCAUGGGCAGGUUGAAGGUUGGGUAACACUAACUGGAGGACCGAACCGACUAAUGUUGAAAAAUUAGCGGAUGACCUGUGGCUGGGGGUGAAAGGCCAAUCAAACCGGGAGAUAGCUGGUUCUCCCCGAAAGCUAUUUAGGUAGCGCCUCGUGAAUUCAUCUCCGGGGGUAGAGCACUGUUUCGGCUAGGGGGCCAUCCCGGCUUACCAACCCGAUGCAAACUGCGAAUACCGGAGAAUGUUAUCACGGGAGACACACGGCGGGUGCUAACGUCCGUCGUGAAGAGGGAAACAACCCAGACCGCCAGCUAAGGUCCCAAAGUCAUGGUUAAGUGGGAAACGAUGUGGGAAGGCCCAGACAGCCAGGAUGUUGGCUUAGAAGCAGCCAUCAUUUAAAGAAAGCGUAAUAGCUCACUGGUCGAGUCGGCCUGCGCGGAAGAUGUAACGGGGCUAAACCAUGCACCGAAGCUGCGGCAGCGACGCUGAUGCGUUGUUGGGUAGGGGAGCGUUCUGUAAGCCUGUGAAGGUGGCCUGUGAGGGUUGCUGGAGGUAUCAGAAGUGCGAAUGCUGACAUAAGUAACGAUAAAGCGGGUGAAAAGCCCGCUCGCCGGAAGACCAAGGGUUCCUGUCCAACGUUAAUCGGGGCAGGGUGAGUCGACCCCUAAGGCGAGGCCGAAAGGCGUAGUCGAUGGGAAACGGGUUAAUAUUCCCGUACUUGGUGUUACUGCGAAGGGGGGACGGAGAAGGCUAUGUUGGCCGGGCGACGGUUGUCCCGGUUUAAGCGUGUAGGUGUGUGUUCCAGGUAAAUCCGGUUCACUUUAACACUGAGGCGUGAUGACGAGGCACUACGGUGCUGAAGCAACAAAUGCCCUGCUUCCAGGAAAAGCCUCUAAGCAUCAGGUAACAUCAAAUCGUACCCCAAACCGACACAGGUGGUCAGGUAGAGAAUACCAAGGCGCUUGAGAGAACUCGGGUGAAGGAACUAGGCAAAAUGGUGCCGUAACUUCGGGAGAAGGCACGCUGACACGUAGGUGAAGUGAUUUACUCACGGAGCUGAAGUCAGUCGAAGAUACCAGCUGGCUGCAACUGUUUAUUAAAAACACAGCACUGUGCAAACACGAAAGUGGACGUAUACGGUGUGACGCCUGCCCGGUGCCGGAAGGUUAAUUGAUGGGGUCAGCGCAAGCGAAGCUCCUGAUCGAAGCCCCGGUAAACGGCGGCCGUAACUAUAACGGUCCUAAGGUAGCGAAAUUCCUUGUCGGGUAAGUUCCGACCUGCACGAAUGGCGUAAUGAUGGCCAGGCUGUCUCCACCCGAGACUCAGUGAAAUUGAACUCGCUGUGAAGAUGCAGUGUACCCGCGGCAAGACGGAAAGACCCCGUGAACCUUUACUAUAGCUUGACACUGAACAUUGAGCCUUGAUGUGUAGGAUAGGUGGGAGGCUUUGAAGUGUGGACGCCAGUCUGCAUGGAGCCGACCUUGAAAUACCACCCUUUAAUGUUUGAUGUUCUAACGUGGACCCGUGAUCCGGGUUGCGGACAGUGUCUGGUGGGUAGUUUGACUGGGGCGGUCUCCUCCUAAAGAGUAACGGAGGAGCACGAAGGUUGGCUAAUCCUGGUCGGACAUCAGGAGGUUAGUGCAAUGGCAUAAGCCAGCUUGACUGCGAGCGUGACGGCGCGAGCAGGUGCGAAAGCAGGUCAUAGUGAUCCGGUGGUUCUGAAUGGAAGGGCCAUCGCUCAACGGAUAAAAGGUACUCCGGGGAUAACAGGCUGAUACCGCCCAAGAGUUCAUAUCGACGGCGGUGUUUGGCACCUCGAUGUCGGCUCAUCACAUCCUGGGGCUGAAGUAGGUCCCAAGGGUAUGGCUGUUCGCCAUUUAAAGUGGUACGCGAGCUGGGUUUAGAACGUCGUGAGACAGUUCGGUCCCUAUCUGCCGUGGGCGCUGGAGAACUGAGGGGGGCUGCUCCUAGUACGAGAGGACCGGAGUGGACGCAUCACUGGUGUUCGGGUUGUCAUGCCAAUGGCACUGCCCGGUAGCUAAAUGCGGAAGAGAUAAGUGCUGAAAGCAUCUAAGCACGAAACUUGCCCCGAGAUGAGUUCUCCCUGAGACUUAAAGUCUCCUGAAGGAACGUUGAAGACGACGACGUUGAUAGGCCGGGUGUGUAAGCGCAGCGAUGCGUUGAGCUAACCGGUACUAAUGAACCGUGAGGCUUAACCUU